rnacentral:rRNA from 1 species
GAUGAACGCUGACAGCAUGCUUAACACAUGCAAGUCUUUGGCGAAGCUGUGCUUGCACCGCCUAGCCAAGGCGGACGGGUGAGUAACGCGUAAGGAACUUGCCCUGCAGUCAGGGAUAACAGACGGAAACGACUGAUAAGACCUGGUAAAGUCAGGCGGACUCAUGUCCAGCCUGAUGAAAAGUGAUGCUGCAGGAGAGCCUUGCGUCCUAUUAGCUUGUUGGUGGGGUAACGGCCCACCAAGGCGAUGAUAGGUAGCCGGCCUGAGAGGGUGGACGACCACAAGGGGACUGAGAUACGGCCCUUACUCCUACGGGAGGCAGCAGUGGGGAAUAUUGGACAAUGGGGGCAACCCUGAUCCAGCAAUUCUGUGUGCACGAUGAAGGUUUUCGGAUUGUAAGGUGCUUUCAGCAGGGAAGAAAAAAAUGACGGUACCUGCAGAAGAAGCGACGGCUAAAUACGUG